CUAAUCGUGCAGUCAAGCGGAAGAUGGGAGCUUGCUCCCUGAUGUUAGCGGCGGACGGGUGAGUAACACGUGGGUAACCUGCCUGUAAGACUGGGAUAACUCCGGGAAACCGGGGCUAAUACCGGAUGGUUGUCUGAACCGCAUGGUUCAGACAUAAAAGGUGGCUUCGGCUACCACUUACAGAUGGACCCGCGGCGCAUUAGCUAGUUGGUGAGGUAACGGCUCACCAAGGCGACGAUGCGUAGCCGACCUGAGAGGGUGAUCGGCCACACUGGGACUGAGACACGGCCCAGACUCCUACGGGAGGCAGCAGUAGGGAAUCUUCCGCAAUGGACGAAAGUCUGACGGAGCAACGCCGCGUGAGUGAUGAAGGUUUUCGGAUCGUAAAGCUCUGUUGUUAGGGAAGAACAAGUGCCGUUCAAAUAGGGCGGCACCUUGACGGUACCUAACCAGAAAGCCACGGCUAACUACGUGCCAGCAGCCGCGGUAAUACGUAGGUGGCAAGCGUUGUCCGGAAUUAUUGGGCGUAAAGGGCUCGCAGGCGGUUUCUUAAGUCUGAUGUGAAAGCCCCCGGCUCAACCGGGGAGGGUCAUUGGAAACUGGGGAACUUGAGUGCAGAAGAGGAGAGUGGAAUUCCACGUGUAGCGGUGAAAUGCGUAGAGAUGUGGAGGAACACCAGUGGCGAAGGCGACUCUCUGGUCUGUAACUGACGCUGAGGAGCGAAAGCGUGGGGAGCGAACAGGAUUAGAUACCCUGGUAGUCCACGCCGUAAACGAUGAGUGCUAAGUGUUAGGGGGUUUCCGCCCCUUAGUGCUGCAGCUAACGCAUUAAGCACUCCGCCUGGGGAGUACGGUCGCAAGACUGAAACUCAAAGGAAUUGACGGGGGCCCGCACAAGCGGUGGAGCAUGUGGUUUAAUUCGAAGCAACGCGAAGAACCUUACCAGGUCUUGACAUCCUCUGACAAUCCUAGAGAUAGGACGUCCCCUUCGGGGGCAGAGUGACAGGUGGUGCAUGGUUGUCGUCAGCUCGUGUCGUGAGAUGUUGGGUUAAGUCCCGCAACGAGCGCAACCCUUGAUCUUAGUUGCCAGCAUUCAGUUGGGCACUCUAAGGUGACUGCCGGUGACAAACCGGAGGAAGGUGGGGAUGACGUCAAAUCAUCAUGCCCCUUAUGACCUGGGCUACACACGUGCUACAAUGGACAGAACAAAGGGCAGCGAAACCGCGAGGUUAAGCCAAUCCCACAAAUCUGUUCUCAGUUCGGAUCGCAGUCUGCAACUCGACUGCGUGAAGCGGAA
rnacentral:rRNA from 1 species